GACGAACGUUGGCGGCGUGCUUAAUACAUGCAAGUCAACUGAAGCAGUGGUAGCAAUAUCGCUGUGGAGGUGGCGCACGGGUGAGUAACACGUAGGUAAUCUGCCUUCAGGUCUGGCAUAACUCCGGGAAACCGGGGCUAAUAGCAGAUGAUGCAGCGGCUCGACAUCGAGACAGUUGUUAAAGCUAUGGCGCCUGAAGAUGAGCCUGCGUCUGAUUAGCUUGUUGGCGGGGUAACGGCCCACCAAGGCAACGAUCAGUAGCUGGUCUGAGAGGAUGAUCAGCCACACUGGAACUGAGACACGGUCCAGACUCCUACGGGAGGCAGCAGUAAGGAAUAUUGCUCAAUGGGAGAAAUCCUGAAGCAGCAACGCCGCGUGAGGGACGAAGGGCUUUUGCUUGUAAACCUCUGUAGUGAGAGAAAAAAAUCCCAAUCUUUGGGACAUGAUGGUAUCUCAAAAGUAAGCCCCGGCUAACUACGUG
rnacentral:rRNA from 1 species